rnacentral:rRNA from 1 species
GAACUGAAGAGUUUGAUCCUGGCUCAGAUUGAACGCUGGCGGCAUGCCUUACACAUGCAAGUCGAACGGUAACGCGGGGCAACCUGGCGACGAGUGGCGAACGGGUGAGUAAUAUAUCGGAACGUGCCCAGUAGUGGGGGAUAGCCCGGCGAAAGCCGGAUUAAUACCGCAUACGACCUACGGGUGAAAGCGGGGGAUCGCAAGACCUCGCGCUAUUGGAGCGGCCGAUAUCAGAUUAGGUAGUUGGUGGGGUAAAAGCCUACCAAGCCUACGAUCUGUAGCUGGUCUGAGAGGACGACCAGCCACACUGGGACUGAGACACGGCCCAGACUCCUACGGGAGGCAGCAGUGGGGAAUUUUGGACAAUGGGCGCAAGCCUGAUCCAGCCAUGCCGCGUGCGGGAAGAAGGCCUUCGGGUUGUAAACCGCUUUUGUCAGGGAAGAAAAGCUCUGGGCUAAUACCCCGGGGUCAUGACGGUACCUGAAGAAUAAGCACCGGCUAACUACGUGCCAGCAGCCGCGGUAAUACGUAGGGUGCAAGCGUUAAUCGGAAUUACUGGGCGUAAAGCGUGCGCAGGCGGUUAUGCAAGACAGAUGUGAAAUCCCCGGGCUCAACCUGGGAACUGCAUUUGUGACUGCAUAGCUGGAGUGCGGCAGAGGGGGAUGGAAUUCCGCGUGUAGCAGUGAAAUGCGUAGAUAUGCGGAGGAACACCGAUGGCGAAGGCAAUCCCCUGGGCCUGCACUGACGCUCAUGCACGAAAGCGUGGGGAGCAAACAGGAUUA